AUAAUGUGCCUACUAGUAUUACUCAGGAGCAUCAUUGCUGGUUUUGACCUCAAGGAGGAUAUCAAUAACUCCUUCCAUGAUCAUUUGGAGUCUUAUGGCAGGGCUUUGUGCUAGAUGGAUAGUGCAGCUAUUAGUAUUCCCUCUACUUCAUUUGCGUCUACAUUAGGUAGUGGUGCCUCUGCCAUGUAUCCACUGAUUCCCCCCUCAUGAUUGGUAAGUCCAAUCUUUUUCAGUCCUAUUAGUCCUCUGUUUGGAAGAAAUAAAGUGAGGCUUCAAAUGGAUUGUUCUCUUCCAUUGUAGGUCACGGAUCAAUACUCCUUCCUCAUGGCCUUGCCCUUGCUAAUGUGUUGCACAUUCUGAAACUUCUUUUCAAUUUUCUUUCCAUUAGCAGUAUUACCCAUUCCUUGAAUCGAUAGAGGAAGCAUGGUAGAUAGUCUCUAUAUUCUUGAUAAUAUGACUGGUUUUGUGGCAUCAGCGUUAGAGUUAAGUGGUCAGUCAAGUUAUUCAAAUAAGAGUCAGGUGUUUUUAUGGCAUAACAACCAUCUAGGUCAUGUGUCCUUCAAGUUAUUAAUAUUUGUUUCCUUCGUUAUUUAAGUCAUGUUGAAUGUGUAACUUUCAAUGUCAAACUUGCCAGUUAAGGAAGCAAUGCAGAACAUCUUUUCCUUCAUGUAAUAGAAGAUCCAGUUUUCCAUUUCAUAUUGUGCAUUCCAAUGUGUGGGGGCCUACUACUAUUAACAUCUGAGGGUGGCUACCGAUACUUUAUUAGUUUAGUUGAUGGGAAAAGGGCCUUAUAGUGGAGCAGUUUGAUACCUUAGCAUUUUUUGAAAUAURUAAUUGGUCUACUUUUAAAUCCAUAUGGURUAACAAUUCUUAUAGUGGAGCUGUUGGGUACCUAAGCAUUUUGUGAAAUUUGUAAAUAAAUGGAUGACAACUAAAGUUAUAAGUAAAAUAUUAUCUUUAGUUUUAAGUGUGACUUAUGAAAAGUUGUUUUGUUUUCAGAAAUCCUCAAGAAAUUCAAGUAAAUCCUUAAAAUCACAAGUUUCUCAUCACAAGUUGAGGCAUGCUGAUUCAGAACAACAGACUGGUCAAGUUAAGGAUCAGGGACCAAGAAAGAAAGCGAGAAUAGUCAAUGAAAGAAAGCCCGG